rnacentral:rRNA from 1 species
CUACGUAGGUGGCAAGCGUUAUCCGGAAUUAUUGGGCGUAAAGAGGGAGCAGGCGGCAGCAAGGGUCUGUGGUGAAAGCCUGAAGCUUAACUUCAGUAAGCCAUAGAAACCAGGCAGCUAGAGUGCAGGAGAGGAUCGUGGAAUUCCAUGUGUAGCGGUGAAAUGCGUAGAUAUAUGGAGGAACACCGGUGGCGAAGGCGACGAUCUGGCCUGCAACUGACGCUCAGUCCCGAAAGCGUGGGGAGCAAAUAGGAUUAGAUACCCUAGUAGUCCACGCCGUAAACGAUGAGUACUAAGUGUUGGAUGUCAAAGUUCAGUGCUGCAGUUAACGCAAUAAGUACUCCGCCUGAGUAGUACGUUCGCAAGAAUGAAACUCAAAUGAAUUGACGGGG